rnacentral:rRNA from 1 species
UGCAUAUCAAAAAGCGGAGGAAAAGAAACCAACAGGGAUUGCCUCAGUAACGGCGAGUGAAGCGGCAAAAGCUCAAAUUUGAAAUCUGGUACCUUCGGUGCCCGAGUUGUAAUUUGAAGAUAGUUUUCUGGUGCUGGCCCUUGUCUAUGUUCCUUGGAACAGGACGUCACAGAGGGUGAGAAUCCCGUCUGGCGGGGUGUCCAGUGCUUUGUAGAUUUCUAUCGACGAGUCGAGUUGUUUGGGAAUGCAGCUCUAAGUGGGUGGUAAAUUCCAUCUAAAGCUAAAUAUUGGCGAGAGACCGAUAGCGAACAAGUACAGUGAUGGAAAGAUGAAAAGAACUUUGAAAAGAGAGUGAAAAAGUACGUGAAAUUGUUGAAAGGGAAGGGUAUUAGAUCAGACUUGGUGUUUUGUGAUUAUCUUCCCUUCUUGGGUUGUGCACUCGCAUUUCACUGGGCCAGCAUCGGUUCGGGUGGUAAGAUAAUGACAUUGGAACGUGGCACUGCCUUCGGGUGGUGUGUUAUAGCCCUUGUUGAUGUUGCCUACCUGGACCGAGGACUGCGGCUUUUGCCUAGGAUGCUGGCGUAAUGAUCUAACACCGCCCGUCUUGAAACACGGACC